AGAGGUUUUCUCGCUUGGAGGAGGGGGCAUCUCCCUGCUAGGGCCAAGCAGGGUGGGACAGGCCCCACCACAAACAGCAAGGACCAGGCAGUGCAUGGGGCAGGCCCUAGGGGCUGCUCUGGAACCCCGGCCAGCUCCUUCCUAAGGCCUGGCUCUUUGGGCAAUGAACUUGUAUCGAGACUGCACAGAACCAUGGACCACAAAGCCUAAAAUAUUUACUGCCUGACCCUGUACACAAAGUUUGCUGGCCCCUGUUUGAGAGGUAGGCAAAAGGCGCGGGUGUGCCUGACCUGGGCUGGGGUGUGAGUGUGUGUGCGUGAGCGGUGACGCUUUUGUGAGGAAACGCAGAACUGGAGAAGGACAGAUUCAAGGCAAGGGCUCAGCUCAUUUCUCAGGCUGCAAAUACUUGCCAGCCCAAUUCCAGAAGCGGUUCAGAAACGAUGUGCCCGGACCCCUACCCUCGGCCUGCUAACAAUCCUGCUCAGCUUGGGCUUCUGGGGCGAACUGUAGGGCACACGCAGCACCAGAUCUUUGGGCCUAGAGGCAACAGAGUCCUGUCCAGGCCUCGGCAGGCCCUAUCAUUUCAAAAGCCCAAAAAGGAACAUGGGGUCUGGCAGCUGGGCAACAUGCUUGAAGCUGGAACCAUCCUGGGAAACCCAUCUUUCUGACUGUGGGUAAGAACAGUGAGACGCCACGCAGGUUCAGGCAUUCCAACGUUGUCACAUGGGGCCAUAAACACAACAGGGGCUCCCUGUGCCCCAGGAGAUCUCGCCACGUGUGCCACGGCUGUCCACCUGUGUAACUGACUUAGAAGCUUGGGACUUCCGGGGGUGCUGGAAGGCUGUCCCCAGAGGCUGAGGAGAGAAAGGUCUCCGACUGUCCCUUUCUGAGCAGCUUCUAAUUCAGGGGACCCUCAUUCCUUGCUACUAUCAGCACCUUCGAGCGGGGUUCCUCAAAGGGGGAGCCUGUCCUCAUGUCCCUCGCCCUGGUCCAGGUCUUCCAUCCCUGGAACGACAGAGCCGACGACAUCUCUGGAAGAAGCGCCCCUUAAUAUCUUCCUUGGGAAAGAAGACGGCUCCCUUCAAGUUCGGGUCAUGCUUUUCACACGUUGAAGGUGGGUCAUUAGGAGCAAAUGCCACUGUUUCCCGCUCACUGCUGGAAGCACACAGGGUCCCUUCGGGGUGAUCGUGGGGGUGCAUCGUGAGAGGGCAUGAGAGCAAGCCCCGGAAAUGCCUUUAAGAAGACCCGGCCCAGGUGCGGCCAGGGGCCCUCCGUUUGAUUAUUACCCUGAUGCCAGCAGGAACAGUAGACCUGGGUUAGUGUCCUGAACUCUACACAGACCGAGUAUGUUCUCAGUUGACUAGUCUCCCAACCUCAGCCACAGCUGUACAUCCAGAAGUCCGCUGGCUUAUGCGGACUUACGGCUAAGAUCUGGGGAGGUAAGGGGAUGGUUCCAGAGCAGCCGCAUCUUGAGGCUCAGCAUCUAGGUCAAUGCUGUGUAGCUCGGGCUCUUGAUUGGUUGUCCCUCAGUGUUCCCAUCUGUAAAAUGGAAUGAUUUGUGGAGACUUACCUCAUCAUGAGGUUCUGAAGAACUACUGUACCAGAGAGAAGGCCCUCUGGUGAUUUCACUGUGCAUCUUCCUAAGGAAUUGGCUCAGGGUGCUUUAGCAGAGUGUAUGUGUGUGGGAAUCAAUUAGAACUCUUUCAGCUUUAAGUAAAAUGUAACUCACCACAAAUUGCUUAAGCAAAAAGAAUCUAUUUAUCUGGUUGGUUGGUUUACAUAAAGAAAAAGUUAAGGGGCUUCAGGCACAGCUUAGUCCAGGGGCUCAAAAAUGUCAUCUGGACCAGGCCAUUCUUCAUUUCUGCUUUCUUUAGCAUUGAUGCUAUUCUUAGACUGUGAUGGCAGGAUAGAUGCAAGCAGCUCCAAGAUGACCCCCUCACAUAUCUAAGUCCAGAAGAAAGGACAACAUCUUUUUCUGGGCUACUUAAAUACUUGGUAUUGACUCCAAAUGGACCUUGUGGCUUGGCUUGCAUCACGCGCUCAUCCCUAAACCAUUACGCAGCUUGGAACGGUGCACAAGGCCCAUGCUACUCUGAUUGGUCAGGCCUGGUUCACAAGUGACGCUCAAGACAGGGAAUUAACUCCACCUGAAGUACACAAGCGGAACAUAAGAAGAGGAGUGGAUUCUCCAGAGAAAGUUGGACGGCUUUGACCAGAAGAUGAGGGACAAAUACGAAGCAGGGAAACCACAACAGUUCUAAAACAGGAAGUAAAUGUGUAUGGGCAGGAAUCCUUGGACCUGGAUCUGUACAAGGCAUCAGUGGACUGAUGCACAGCUUUGGGAUCCAGUGAGAAUACGAGGUAACAUCCACCUCUAGGAAAACAUUGGAUUGCCUCAGAAAUCCCCAAAUAUUGCUCACUGCCCUGGGACCUGGGACCUCAUAGUUAAGCAGAAUAUGAUCCGGGCAUCCUGACAUCCACAGGAGUUACCAGCCCCUGCCUAGAACAAGGAUCACCUGGCCCAUGCCUCCUUACUCUGAUUGUACUGUACUCUCCUUGAGGGCAGGACCACAACUCCCUUCCCUCUGCACCUGCAGAAAUAUUUUUGGAAUGAAUACUAAUCUUUAGCAGAGCUUGAUACCUUUUCAAACCUCUUUAACAUCUACUGUCGUAUAUGAUUCUUUGUUCUUCUUUUUGGCUACCCAGGAUCUGAACCCUCUUCCUGUGAGAGGGAAUUCCCCUUAUUCUCAGGCGGAGCCCACUUCCCACCAGAGAGGCUGAAAGUAGCACGUGCGUGUGUUUCCCAGCCUCCCUGUGGCUGGGCAAGGGCACAUGACCUAGGCUCUGACCAUCAGACACAUGGGCAUCAGACACAUGGGCUCCAGACUGUGACCCAGGAGCUAGUGGCCCAAAGAAGCAUUUGGUGGUUAUCAGGGGUGCAGCUAGCCAGUGUUCCUAGGGCAGUGGGGAUGGUGACUCCUGAGGGCGUGAACAGGAUGCUGCAGCCCAGCCUACCUGGCCCAGUACAGUGGUGACAGUGACGACAGCAAGAUCCCAACUGAGUACUGCAGUGUGACCUGGGGCCUUGUUCAAAGCCGUGUAGUCUAUGGGGCUGCUUCUCUGCUCUGCCGAGAGAUUCUCUGAAAUGCUCAAUAUCCUUAUUAUUUUGGGGCUUAAAUCAAUUUAGCUUAAGUCAACUGAGUCAAUCUGCUUAAGAAUCGAUUUCUGUUGCUUGCAGCUAGAAACUCUGUUAUAAUCCUUGAGACAACUGCAUAAUUCCCCUUUUCCAGGUGAAUAAAUUGAGGCUUAGAGCCCGGCCUCAGCCCAUGCAAUGGGACCGUUUCUGCAUUGAGACCAGAACCCUGGACUUAGUGAAGCAGACCUACAACUGCAGGUGGGAGCCCAGGCGAGGAAGAAGUUUCUCAUAAGUAGAGCUGCCUCAUCUGGUAGGAAGCCCCCUGUUGCUGGAGGUAUGCAAGCAGAUCUGGGGAGAUGGAGGGAGAGGCCAGGCAAAGCAAUUCCAGUUCCCUUCUUUGCCACAGAUUACACAGGUUAUCAUCUGUCCAACUCGGAGUCCUCUUUGUCCACACAGAAGGGUCAGGGUAACACACAGCUCCUGGUGCUGCGGCUUCAAACCCUCCCCAGUCUCUUUACCAUCCUGCUUGUUUCUGGUCCAACUGCUGCUAGUCCUAUGUUCCAGAGAAAAGUCAUGGCAUUUACUGGCCUCCGUCACUUUAAUGAAAAAGCCCCUACACCAAACAAAUACAAGCACAGACAUUUGCAACUAAUUAUGGUAUUGCUGAUCAGUCAAAUUUCAUUGCAAAUUGCAUGUUGAAAUUGAUAGUGGGCGAGUCAUGAAUAAACUGGUUGUCUGGAAAAGUGACACGGGCACACAGGACUAGGUUAAUAAUUCAAUUUGGGCUCAGCCAGACACUCUGAAGAAGAGGAAGAAGCAGAUUAGCGGUGCCCCAAGACUGCUUGUUUUCCCGGGUACCUCUUGCCAGUGCGCCUUCUAAGGGAAGCUGAGCCUCCUUUAGGAUCCUCCCACUUUGGGAGACCGCAGGGCACUGAGUAUUCCAGCCUUUAAUUCUUGGUUUGCAAAAUUGCAGCCUUGAGUGAUGUGGGGAGGGGAAGACGGCCUUACAUCCCAUCCCCUUUGCUGCUAAGAAGCCCACUGAGGAGGCUUCCUGGAGACUGCCGCCUCCUGCUGCAGUGAAGACUGCUCGUGGCCUCCCAUCUGUGGGUACUGGGCUGGGAAAGCCCACAGGGGUUCCCCAGGUCAGGUCUGGCUCCAGAGAAGGUGGAAAAGGAGCCAGAGGGGCCUUAGAGAGCUCCCCACUUGCCCUGGUCCCCGUGGCGGCCCACAGAACUAUGAAGCCCAAAAGUAAGACAAUGCAUCGAGGCCACAAGAUAGACGGGCAGUGUCCUCAGAAUUGGGCCUUCCUGGAGGGUCGCUGUGCCCCUGCACCUGGGGAGGAAGGCAGGAUGGAGACACAGAGCAGGCAGAGUGCACAGAUGUCAGGGGCAAGUAAGAUGCAGUCACAGUGGCCACGUUGAUCCACCCUGGAGUACUUCCCCGUGAGCUGCUCGGCCACUCUAACUGCCCUGGCUCUAAAGGCCUGUGCGGAGGCAAAGUCUUAAUUUUUGCCCUCUAGAUUGGAGUUUAAAACUCAAAUGUCUACAUGGAUGUGGGUGCGCUCUAGACUGGGCAGGCCUGGUAAGCUUGGGCCUGCCUCGGGGGGAGCAGCCAUGCUUUGGCUUCAGGAGACUGUCUAGAGACAAUAUGAGCUGGAAUCCAGAAAAAGAUUUAGGCCAGGGAUAUAAAUUUGGAAGUUGUCAACAACUGAAUUAUAUUUAAAGCCACUCUGGGGGAGAUUAACAACAGAGUGAGUGGAGAUGCGAGGUCCAGGGACUGAACCUUAGAGAGGAACAAGUGCCAGCAAGAGGGCCCGUGAAGGAGCAAUCAGCCAGGCAGGAGGGAAACCAGGAGAGGGAGGCGAGGGCGCCGAGCAGGGAGAGAUGAACGCCUACACUCUAGAAAAGAGGCAAGGGAAGCUAGCCUUGAGAUUUAACAUGGAGACUCCUUGACAGGGGUAUCUUGCCGUCGUGCUGGAGGCUGAGGGGAGUGCACGGGAGAAAGGAAGGAAGGAGAGGACGUGAAGGCAGCAGAACCUUCAGAAGUUUUCCCAUAAAUAAGAGCAGAGAAAUCGGAGGACAGUUUGAGGGGUAUACAAGGCCAAGAGGAGGUUUUUCUUUAAGAGAGAAAAAUUGCAGUAUUUUUGGGUGUGGAUGGGAAUAAACCUGGAGAGAGGGGAAUUUUGAUGAUGCAGGUGAGAAGGGGGAUAAAAGUUGGAGUGAAGUCUUUGAGUAAACAGG
rnacentral:lncRNA from 1 species